rnacentral:lncRNA from 14 species
AGGAGGGUAGCUACUUGACUCAGGUUGGGGCUUGUUGACCUUGGGCAUCUGACACAGACAGUGGCUCAGACUUGGGCCCUAUGCAUCCACGAUGUAAAGAGGCAAAGGAACUGUCCCAAAGAGGAAGGAAGCUCUGGGUCCUCUCUGGAGAGGAAACCAAGGCCAGAAAGGGAAAGGUUUCCUCGUCCCCGUACCAGCUCUCAGGGAACUCAGGUGUGAAGCCAGGGGCUCUAGGGCCUAUGUCUCUGGGAUCCCCACUGAAUUCUGGAGUUGGACUCCACCCACCAGAUGCCAGGCUGGCCCUGCUGCUGAACGCUCCCAGGCGCUAACAGGCUGACCAUCCUGGAGGACCACACACUUGGCUACGUAAAGGCUCCACUCACACCAAAGG